AAAUGCCAUCCCACCGGCUAGAGUGUAAUGUAAUGUAGAAUGUAAUCUCCCUGUGUGUCACAGCCCUUAUUGUUAGUCACACACAGACCAUGCAUUAACAGCUAAUCAAUAGGAUCUUAAGAAGAAUGCUAGAUGUCACACAAAAAGAAAAAUAAAUAGUCAGGAACUGUGAGAUUUUGCAAGAAUGAUGUUACUCUGGAAGCAUGAGAGCCCUGAUAGAGAUGCAACUCAUAUUGCGUGAUGCUUGGCUGAACUUUUAUUCCUGCAUCUGAGUGAGCUUAGCCACCAUGUACCAUCAGCAUAAAGAUAAUGAAACAGAAUUCCUGCUUUCUCUUGCAGAAUGUUUGUUAUGAGUGCUGCUGUGCUCGGCCACCUUUUAUCCGCUCUCUGAACAAAGCCCCACCGUCUCCAAUGGAACUUUGGAUAAUGAAUAUUCAUUUCCUGCUUCCAGGAGCCCUGCCAGAAUUCGACUGGUAUUGUCAAUGAAAAAUAUUGUAAAUUGCAGAAGUGGGAGGAAAAAGUCAAUUUGAACACAAGGCAAUAAAGAAAAGGAUGCAAGUGGGGCACUUUGGGGCAAGGACUAACAUAAAUGGAAGGUUUAAAAUGACAGAGGAGGAGCCUGGGACCCCAACCUGUAUCCGUCCUAGCUUCACCAGGAAAGUCUUUAUUACUUAAUUAUUUCGCGGAUCUGGACUUCAAUUUGCAUGAAUUUAUUCUAAAUGACAACUGUGCGAUGCUUUGGCCACCUCAAAUCUGACCAGGUUGUUCCCUGGGGGCCCUCAGGAAUCAGCCGGGUCAUAGACAUGACAGUUCAAUACAGCGAGUACAGUAUCCUCGUGUGGCGACAGGUUCCUUUCUGAUGUCAAUCACUGGUCUAUUGGGGCAUUAGUAGUGUCUAGCUCUGCAUUAACAGCUGUCCAUUUGAUCUUCAGUGCACUAGAUCUCAGCACACUACGUAAUGUGAGUUACAGUAAUACUAUGAAUACUAUACUGUAAGUUGCUGUCAGCAUGUAACCAGUUUCCAACAAGGUCCGUACUGCCUGCCAACUGACCAGCACAGGACUGUAUGCUUUUGUGCUACUGUCUGUAAGAUACACAAAUGGUAGUGCAUGAGUCCUUCUACGCAUUAUCUACCCACCAUCGUGUUGAUCACUGAUUAUGUCAGUUCUGCCCAUUGACGCUUUCUUCUGGAGUCUGUCAGAUCCUGCACGUCCCAGGUACAAUAAGCUGCUUCACUCCACAUGAUGAUUUACCUCAAUAUACACCAAUCCAGUUGUCUGCUCAUCACAUGUAGCCCUGUCCCUUGGCACUCCAGUAUUUUCACUUACCUUGGUUGUUUCGAGCACCCAGCAGAUGUUUUUGCUAAAACUUACUUUACUCUAUAAAGAGGCAGACUGUUAAUGGAUCCUAACGAAAUACUGGAAUGGGACAAAUACCCCACAUAUGUCUGAACUCACUGCUUUCUGGGAUAUUCAACAGGAAAGGGGGAAAAAGGUAAAAGAGCUCAGUAAAGAAUGGAAACAUCCAGCUCACCCCCAUUCCCAGGCUUUAUUUGGAGUGACUCCAUGCCAAAAACAACCAGUAUUCUACCUCCAAGCUGCGGUGCUGAAUAAAGUUCAUGGAAGACAAGAAA